AAUUAGAUUGAAAGAUCCCCGAAGAGAGACCCUUACUCAAGUCUUGGGAAGUCGCGGACCCCAGACACAGAGAGACCA
rnacentral:pre_miRNA from 14 species